ACCUGGCUGGCUCAGUCAGUAGAGCACGAGACUCUUGAUUUUGGGGUUGUGAGCUCAAGCACCACGCUGGGUG
rnacentral:tRNA from 1 species